AGAGGACAGGAGGGGAAAGAACGUCAGCGUCCAGCUCAGACACGGCUCCGCCUUCCCCGAGAUCCAGGCGCUCAGCCGGGCCCGCCGCCCGGGGCUCGCCCAGACCACGCGGUGACGGUCCGCAGGCCCAGGUCGCGCCUCCCCGCCGGGGCUGAGAUUUGGCCCCUAGCCCCAGGGAGAUCGGGGUGGGUGACCCCAGGGAAGCCCCGCCCCUUCCUUCCUCCCCCUUCCCUAAAGCGCGCGGGCGGGAACGGAGGGAACCCGGCGAAAGUGCACGCCCCGCGGGCCGGCGUGGGCGUGUGUGAUCGUAACCCCGUCCCUGCCUGGAAAGCCGCGGGGCGGGCAGCGAGAAGGCCCAGGGCGGUGGCUGCGGGGGCGGGCGGCCGGGCCAGCGCCGCGUCUCCGUGCCUUAUAAGGGCUUCAAGUCAGCCCAGCCAUUCGGGAUGCGGCGGGGACCUGGAGGCGGUGCCGGGACCCCCGCCCUGCUCGUGGAUUGGGGGGGCGGGGGGCGGGGAGGAGGGAAGGGGCCCGGACUCCAGAUCCCAGCGGGUGAAGGCUGCAAGUUCGGAUUUCUGGGUCGUUCAAAAAUGGAUCAAGAUUUAUUUAUGAGGCCAAGGAACUGGAAGAAGUUGUGUUGGCACAAAGCUAGAAAGACAGAACCUGGAACAGACUGGAGAGAAUGGAAUGGAAGAGGAGAGGAAAAUGGAAGAUCAUGAAUACCCUGAACCUCUUUUUCUUUGACAUUUUAAAAGAAUGUUUGAGACCAAUAAAUGGAAUUAUUCAAAUGUCA